AAUAAAUUAAAUAAAUAACUAUUAAAAUGAACUUCUCAAGGAUUUUUUUGUUCGUGUUCGCGUGUUUGGUGGCAGCGUGCAGCGUGUCGGCGGCGCCCGAGCCCAGGUGGAAGGUCUUCAAGAAAAUUGAGAAGGUGGGUCGUAACAUCAGGGACGGUGUCAUCAAGGCUGGGCCUGCUAUCGAAGUCCUGGGCCAGGCUAAAGCUAUUGGAAAAUAGACCUUAACUAUUAAGCAAUAAUGUUCAAAGUAUUAUAACU
rnacentral:misc_RNA from 1 species